GCAGCUAUUCAUUUUCUUUCCUUUCACAUCUCCAAGUCUCAACUGCUAUGCGGGGGCUGCAUCUCUCUUGCUCGCUCUCAUCACUUCUUUUGGCUUCCGAAUCAAAAUCCCUCUUUAUCUUAUCAAUCUUCAACAUCUUUUUCUGAAUCUUUAACUUCUCAAUCCGAUUUUAAUCUGUCGUUCGUAUUCUAUUUAUGUUUUCGAAAUUGAUAUGUUAUAAAUCUCAACUGGAUUCGAGUUUUAAUGCUAUCUACGUGAUACUGUGCCUUGUAUACUAUGUUUUGGAUAAUCUGGGCACUUGUAUAUGAUCGCUUUUGCAGGUAAUAAUAAAGAGAGGCAUCUCAUUUGAUCUCUUGGCAAGCACACCGAAUAUGUAAGAGCACAAAAAUUUCGGGUCAUUUCUGGUCGUGUUGGGUAACCCGAAAUAAAUCCGAGUCGUGUUCGGGUUAGAUACCUGUACGCGUAAAAUUUUCGGGUCAAAUUCGGAUUGGAUAAAACAUACUACGCGAAUGUUGACCCGACACGAACCCGACCCACAACCCAUUAUUGCCUGCCUAAUUCCUACCCCGUUUGCAUCUUUCAUCCCCUCGUCGGCUCUUCUUCGCCUGGGUUUUCUUCCAACCGGGCUGUGGGCCAUAUCUUCUCCUGGGCUUAAGGCCCAACAAAGUUUAAAAUUCAGUCAAGCCCCCUCUGCUCUCACCUGGAUCACUUCGAAAGGCCUUGUCCAAGUAAGCCAUUAUUUAUUCCACAUGGCGUGUCUCUCGUGAGGAUUAAUACUCUAACCUGGUUAAAGAUAUCAGCAAUCAGACAAGUCUUGUCUCUUUUCCUCUGGGUUCGAUUCCACAAAUGGAAGUUUUGCUUUGUGUGAGUGUUACCAUUAUGCUGCGUGGCAUUUCCGGGAGGGCAUGGAGGCGUCGGACCAGAACAGGGUAUUGCAUCAGAUCAGGCCUGCAUGUUGAUUGACAUCUUUUGGUUCUUUGGGUUUACGUGACUCAUAUUGGUUUUAGUAAUAUGGUCUUAAUUGUGAACUUCCAAAUGGUAUCCAUCCAUUCAUUGCUAUUUAAAAUUUACAAUUUGGGUUCGGGUGAAUGAAUUUGGAGGAACUCCCUUCCUCCUAACAAGUCCUUCAAGCAUCUCCGCGGCAGAUUAGCUAUGUGAUAUCCUGAGCUAUAAUUUUAGGGAAUAUGCACAAACAUUUACUUUAGCAGAGUCCCUGUUCAUUUCAAGGAUCCAUUUUCAUUCCUCGUAAACACAGGGUGGUGCUACGGGUCCCAAUUAACUCUGGCCUCGAUGGUGGUUCUGCAGAUGAUCUAGCACAUAGAAGGCCGGUGUUGUCAGACAUCUAGGUUCUCUCUCAUGCUUGAGGCAAUAGCAGAAACUCUCUCAUGCUGAAAAUACAUUCAUUUGAGGGUGGUGCUAGGGGAACUCUGGCCCUGAUGGUGGUUCUGCAGAUGAUCUGGCACAUAGAAGGCCAGUGUUGUCAGAAAUCUGGGUUCUCUCUCAUGCUUGAGGCAAUAGCAGAAACUUUCUCGUGCUGAAAAUACAUUCAUUUGAGGAGGGUGCCAAAAGUUGGCAAUUUUGCUUGGCACUCCUUCCACUCCAAUGGAGAGCCAACAAGAGUGUCAUGUCACAUUAUGACACAUGGCACUUUAGCACUCUUUUUCGCAGCUUUUUGGAGUUUGUGGGAUUUGUGGCACCGCAGCUUUUGCCUGAGAAGUCUCCUUGUGCAAAGGAUCAACUGAGGCAGCUUUUCAGGAUGUUUGAUCCAGAUGGAAAUGGAUUUAUUACCGUGGGAGAGUUGGCUCUACUUGGUCAUGCGUCGACUGCUGAGGAGUUGAGAGGGGUGAUUAGAGAAGCUGAUACUGAUGGAGAUGGCAGGAUUAGUUUUCAGGAGUUUUCACUAGCUACAACUUCAGCUGCUUUUGAUAAUUAUUGGAUUUGAUUCUUACAUGCUGCAACUUUUUAACAUUUCAGGUAUGUUUAUUGUAAUCUUUUGAAACAAAUCCACUCUAUCUUGUGAUCGUUUGUAUGUGCUGCAUUCUGAUUUUAGAGUUGGUGGUUCAAAAAAUUGUUCAGAAUCAGAUUUUAAGUUUUGUAACUUUUGUUGCAUCGGUGGCUCCCGUAAAAUAUUGUUAACAUAUUAGAUUUGAUAAUUUAUUUGCUCAAAUAUUGUACUGGAACUCAUCCAUCACCUCUCACAAAUUGAUUCUAA